GAUGAACGCUGACAGAAUGCUUAACACAUGCAAGUCGAUGGGGAAGUGGUGCUUGCACCAUGGCAACCAUGGCGGACGGGUGAGUAACGCGUAAGGGACUUACCUGCAGGACUGGGAUAACAGGGGGAAACUCCUGACAAGACCGGAUAAUGUCAUGGAGCUGCAUGGCUUUAUGAUGAAAGGAGACGCCUGCGGAGAGCCUUGCGUCCUAUUAGCUAGUUGGUGAGGUAAUGGCUCACCAAGGCGAAGAUAGGUAGCCGGCCUGAGAGGGUGGACGGCCACAAGGGGACUGAGAUACGGCCCUUACUCCUACGGGAGGCAGCAGGGGGGAAUAUUGGACAAUGGGGGCAACCCUGAUCCAGCAAUUCUGUGUGCACGAAGAAGGUUUUCGGAUUGUAAAGUGCUUUCAGCAGGGAAGAAGUAAGUGACGGUACCUGCAGAAGAAGCGACGGCUAAAUACGUG
rnacentral:rRNA from 1 species